rnacentral:rRNA from 1 species
AGUGGAUGGGGAGCAACCUAUGUUGUGCGUGUGUAAAGGUAGUGCCAAGAAAAGCGAUGAUCAUGUUGAAAAUCAAUUCCCGGUACCCGAAACCGACACAGGUGGGCAAGUAGAGAAUACUAAGGGGCGCGAGGUAACUCUCUCCAAGGAACUCGGCAAAAUGACCCCGUAACUUAGGGAGAAGGGGUGCCACCGAGAGGUGGUCGCAGUGAAGAGGCCCAGGCGACUGUUUAGCAAAAACAUAGGUCUCUGCAAACUCGAAAGAGGAGGUAUAGGGGCUGACGCCUGCCCAGUGCCGGAAGGUUAAAGAAGUUGGUCAGUUUUAGGAUGAAGCUAGCGACUGAAGCCCCGGUGAACGGCGGCCGUAACUAUAACGGUCCUAAGGUAGCGAAAUUCCUUGUCGGGUAAGUUCCGACCCGCACGAAAGGCGUAACGAUCUGGGCGCUGUCUCGGAGAGAGGCUCGGCGAAAUAGGAUUGUCUGUGAAGACACGGACUACCUGCAUUUGGACAGAAAGACCCUAUGAAGCUUUACUAUAGCUUGGAAUUGUGUUCGGGCUUCCUGUGCGCAGGAUAGGUGGGAGGCGUAGAAGGUAUUCUUGUGGGGAUACUGGAGCCAACGGUGAGAUACCACUCUCAGGAGGCUAGAAUUCUAACUUAAUUAAGGACAGUUUCAGGUGGGUAGUUUGACUGGGCGGUCGCCUCCAAAAAGGUAACGGAGGCGUACAAAGGUUCCCUCAGACUGGUUGGAAAUCAGUCGAAGAGUGCAAAGGCAGAAGGGAGCUUGACUGCGAGAAGUACAGUUCGAGCAGGGUGGAAACACGGUCUUAGUGAUCCGACGGUGCUGUGUGGAAGGGCCGUCGCUCAACGGAUAAAAGUUACUCUAGGAUAACAGGCUGAUCUCCCCCAAGAGUUCACAUCGACGGGGAGGUUUGGCACCUCGAUGUCGGCUCAUCGCAACCUGGGGCGGAAGUACGUCCCAAGGGUUGGGCUGUUCGCCCAUUAAAGCGGUACGUGAGCUGGGUUCAGAACGUCGUGAGACAGUUCGGUCCAUAUCCGAUGUAGGCGUGAGAAUAUUGAGAGGAGCCUUCCUUAGUACGAGAGGACCGGGAAGGACGCACCGCUGGUGUACCUGUUAUGAUGCCAAUUGUAAACGCAGGGUAGCCAAGUGCGGAGAGGAUAACCGCUGAAAGCAUCUAAGUGGGAAGCCCACCUCAAGAUGAGUAUUCUGGUGUAAGGUCACGGGAAGACGACCCGUAAAUAGGCACGAGGUGGAAGUGCAGAGAUGUAUGAAGCCGAAGUGUACUAAUAGACCGUCGGCUUGACC